rnacentral:lncRNA from 1 species
AUGAGGCAUCACCGUUUACAUGAUGUAAAAAGAGCUAAAAAAGAGCGAUAUAAACUACAUUCAGAAAAGUGCAUCUCCAAACAUACAGGUAAUGCUUUGGCUUGUUCCUGUGCCCCAGGUGCCAGCCCGAGCUGGGCCCGUGUUCUGCCACUGUCCAAGGGCUUGUGGCUCCCAGCACAGCCUGGGAGCACAGAGGGCUCUGAAAAGGGGGUUCUGCAAAAAGGGGGUUCUGCACAGAGGGGACAGAUCCAGCACAGGGGGGUCUGUACAGGGGGGAUAGAUCCAGCACAGGAGGUUCUGCACAGAGGGAUCUGCACAGAGGGUUCUGCAGAGAAGGUUCUGCACAGAGAGGACAGAUCCAGCACAGGGGGAUCUGCACAGAGGGUUCUGCAGAGAGGACAGAUCCAGCACAGGGGGCUCUGCACAGAGGGUUCUGUACAGAGGGUUCUGCACAGAGGACAGAUCCAGCACAGGGGGAUCUGCACAGAGGGUUCUGCACAGAGGGUUCUGCACAUAGGACAGAUCCAGCACAGGGGGAUCUGCACAGAGGGAUCUGCACAGAGGGUUCUGCAGAGAGGACAGAUCCAGCACAGGGGGCUCUGCACAGAGGGUUCUGUACAGAGGGUUCUGCACAGAGGACAGAUCCAGCACAGGGGGAUCUGCACAGAGGGAUCUGUACAGAGGGUUCUGCAGAGAGGACAGAUCCAGCACAGGGGGCUCUGCACAGAGGGUUCUGUACAGAGGGUUCUGCACAGAGGACAGAUCCAGCACAGGGGGAUCUGCACAGAGGGAUCUGUACAGAGGGUUCUGCAGAGAGGACAGAUCCAGCACAGGGGGCUCUGCACAGAGGGUUCUGUACAGAGGGUUCUGCACAGAGGACAGAUCCAGCACAGGGGGAUCUGCACAGAGGGUUCUGCACAGAGGACAGAUCCAGCACAGGGGGAUCUGCACAGAGGGAUCUGCACAGAGGGUUCUGCACAGAGAGGACAGAUCCAGCACAGAGGGUUCUGUACAGAGGGAUCUGUACAGAGGGCUCUGCACAGAGAGGACAGAUCCAGCACAGAGGGAUCUGUACAGAGGGUUCUGCACAGAGGGAACAGAUCCAGCACAGGAGGUUCUGCAGAGAAGGCUCUGCACACAGGAGGCACAUCCAGCACAGGGAGCUCUGGGACACCCCAAGAGCCCUGGGGGCUCCUGCUCUGCUCUGGAGGCGCCUCCUGUGACGUGGGUGAGGUAAAAGCCACAACAGCUCCUGAGGAUUGA